UACGUAGGGGGCGAGCGUUGUCCGGAAUCAUUGGGCGUAAAGCGCGUGUAGGCGGUUUCGUAAGUCUGCUGUGAAAGUCGGAGGCUCAACCUUCGAAAGCCGGUGGAUACUGUGAGACUUGAGUACGGAAGAGGAGAGUGGAAUUCCUGGUGUAGCGGUGAAAUGCGCAGAUAUCAGGAGGAACACCAACGGCGAAGGCAGCUCUCUGGGACGUUACUGACGCUGAGACGCGAAAGCGUGGGGAGCAAACAGG
rnacentral:rRNA from 1 species